rnacentral:rRNA from 1 species
UACGUAGGUCUCAAGCGUUAUCCGGAUUUAUUGGGCGUAAAGGGUUCGCAGGCGGAUUGUUAAGUCUGAUAUUAAAUCUCACGGCUCAACCGUGAAUCUGUAUUGGAAACUGGCAAUCUUGAGAGUGGGAGAGGCAGAUGGAACACUUGGUGUAGGGGUAAAAUCCGUUGAUAUCAAGUGGAACGCCAAAUGCGAAGGCAAUCUGCUGGCCCAACUCUGACGCUCAGGAACGAAAGCGUGGGGAGCGACC